UUUUAAUUCUAGAACUUAAAAAUUUUUAAAAUUUAGAAUUGUAUUGGGGGGAUAAAUAAAUUUAAAAAACUUUAUAUUUAAAAAACAUUAAUUUAUGAUUUUUUUAGCUUUAAAUUGAAAAUUUAAAUAAAAA
rnacentral:rRNA from 1 species